rnacentral:lncRNA from 1 species
AUGAGGACAGGCCUGGCCAGGGCUGGCCCGCCGGGAGGCUGCCAAGGGCCUUGCUGGAAAGAAGCAGGAGCCAGGGGGCCGAGCAGGGCCUUCUGCUGGCCUCAUCCGCGGGACGUGAAGGGUGGACAACCGGCAAGGCAGCCUGCGGCCGUGCGGAGCUCCCAGAGCGUCAGUGCAGCUGAGGGGGGGGCACAGGUCCCCACGUCCCAGCCAGGCGUGCAGAAGAGACACUCCGCGUCCUGGGAUCUCUGCUGUUGGCUCAGGAGGAGGGUCCUGCCAACACAGGCCCAGCUUGCACCGCGAGAGCCAGAGAGGGCCAGGAUCCGGGAGGGCAGCGACCCCAUCCUGUGCAGUCCCGGAGCCAGGAGGGUGCUCUGCCUCCCGCUGCUGCUGUCCCUGCUGUGCCCCAGGCGUGCGCUGGGCCUGCAGUGCUACUCCUGCCAUGGCACCCAGGACAGCGGCCAGUGCCUGCCCACCGAGUGUCCCGAGGGGUUCGUCUGCUUCCAGGCCAUCCUGAGUGCGGCCGAAGGCUACGGCAGCGGUGAGUCCAGGACUCCACCSGGGGUGUGGGGUGGGGGUCUCUGAAGGACACCACCUUAUCCAGGGAAGGCUCAGAGGGCUCUGUCCUCAGGCCAGAUGGCCUCAGGGACAAACCCGGCCCGGGGGUCCCCAUCUGCUGGAGAGCUUGGAGGACAGUCCUGGGCAGCGGCUUCCUACAGAGGAAGCAGCGGUAGGCUGCCCCCCCCCAAAACGCCCAGGCCAGGCGCCUCUUCUGUCCCUCUCCCAAAGGACACCAAGUGGGGUACAGCGGCUGCGCUCCGUCCUGUGAGGCCGUCUCUCAGAGCUUCCAGAGGAAGACUUGGGGACCCAUCCUGAGAUCACUGUGGAGGGGCUGGGUCAGCACACUCCCCCAGGACUGGAGCUGAGGGAGGUGAGGUGCUGCCUCCAAGACCUCUGCAACAGGCCCGGCCCCGAGGGGCCGUUCUCGGUGGCCUGCGCCCCAGGGCCCCCGGCAGGGCGGCUUCUGCUCAUCCUGGCCCCCGCCCUCCUCUGGGCCCUGCUGUGAGGAUCUCCACACCCCUGGCGCCCUCCUCCAGGAAGCAGGGCACUGUCACAGCCCACCUGGCCGCUCAGGGGAUCACACGUCACACCCCCCCUCCAGGCACGCACACUGCACCCGCACACAGCACCGCGGGCCCUGCAGACACACGCCCAGCGGCACGGCAAGACCCCGAGGGAAGCCUGCUCAGGCCCUGGCUCCUGCCCCCCUGCCCCCCAGCACCCACCUGCCCCCAGCACCCACCUGCCCCCCAGCACCCACCUGCCCCCCAGCACCCGGCUCGCAGCCCCUGCCUCCUGCAGACACUGUGGGUGAACCUCCACCCAAUCGGCCCAGGCCCUCAGACAGGACACCUGCCUGGAGAAAUAAAUGCUGUCUAGCAAGCCUCUCCCA